rnacentral:rRNA from 1 species
UUUUAUGGAGAGUUUGAUCCUGGCUCAGGAUGAACGCUGGCGGCGUGCCUAAUACAUGCAAGUCGAGCGAACGGACGAGAAGCUUGCUUCUCUGAUGUUAGCGGCGGACGGGUGAGUAACACGUGGAUAACCUACCUAUAAGACUGGGAUAACUUCGGGAAACCGGAGCUAAUACCGGAUAAUAUUUUGAACCGCAUGGUUCAAAAGUGAAAG